UAGAAUGUGAAAUGAUUUUGCGUAGGAACUUGGCUAGGACAAAAUUGUUGCCGUCUAAAGAGAUUUUGAGAAUGAAAGCAUGGAUUUGGAGGAGGUGAUUAUGGUUGGUUGAGAGUUCAAUGAGGGACAUUACAUUUUGUUCUAUGGUUUUGUUGGGGAGAGAAUUGAAAAGUUUAGACAAGAACCGCAUAGUUACAUGAAUAACGAACUUUGGCGGGUCUUUUUUUAGUUUGUUUUUAAGAUAGAAAAAUGUCCACAGCAGGACUGUGUGUCUGAGUUCCACUUGGCG
rnacentral:lncRNA from 1 species